GAAAGUUAGAGGAUCGAAGACGAUCAGAUACCGUCCUAGUUCUAACCAUAAACGAUGCCGACUAGCAAAGUAGGAGAAAAACUUCGAUAUAAAGCUAGUAUUGAUUAUGAUAUUUGGU
rnacentral:rRNA from 1 species